rnacentral:pre_miRNA from 12 species
GGUGUGAUAAGGAAUUGUAAAUAACUCCAGGGUAAUGUUUAAAAUGGUCACAAACAGUUCCCUAGAAACUAUUCACAAUGCCUCCAUUA